AACGAUUCGUAGCACUCGGCUAUGUCGUGCCUGUACGCUUCGAGUUUCUCUAGGCUCAUGUUCGCGAUGAAAGCUACUGUAUCUCAAUCGGCUACUCGUGCGACGGCUGUAUAAGGCUGAUGCUGUCUACUAGCCGCUGGUAUAUCUGGAUUAUGGAGCAACUUGUGUGUAAAUCACAGUCGGUUUGCUGUAGCCAGGUCGGCUGGGAAAUGUAGCCGGGUCGGCUGGGUAAUGUAGCCAGGUCGGCUGGGAAAUGUAGCCAGGUCGGCUGGGAAAUGUAGCCAGGUCGGCGAACUUGGCGGCCCGAGGCACAGUUUAAGUGGACUUCACGCAUGACCGCAAAUACAGCUAUACUGUAGGCUUGUGUUGGACAAGAUGGAGCUGAUUGCUAACAUUUCACACCGUACCAUGGUGCUGUACAAUGGAACAGUCAGGCCUCUGCUCAACCGUACACAUAGGUGUGACCGAAACGCAGCAGACGGCAGUGCUGUGUACGUGCCUCUUAUCCAUGGGGUGGUGAUGUUCCUGGGCUUGUUUAUGAACUCGUACAUGUUGCUGAUACUUCAUUCGAGAAAGGGAAGGAGGAAGAGGCCUG
ensembl:lncRNA